rnacentral:lncRNA from 1 species
UUUAAAAGAGAAAAAAACAAUGUAUAAAUUCCAAAACAUCAAGGGAGGAAAAUAAAAUACAAAAAUCAAUUCUAAAAACCCCUUUAAAUUAAAAAACUGAAAGGCCUGAAAGAGGCGGAGAGCGGAGAGGGAAGUGCAGCAGGCAGCCCCACCUGGACACGGGGUGAACCGUGUGAAACUGUAAAACAGACUCACGAGCAUCAAAGAACUGAGCUAGCAGCCAGGAAUCCAGGUGAAAACCCACGUGGGGCAGGGCGGAGUGUCUUCUGAGCAGGGCUUACAAGCAGGGAUCUGACAACGCCGGCUUGGGGAGGAGACUCCAGCGUGGCCAGCAGGGCCAGCGUUCGCACCCGGGCUCCAGCUCCGGAUCGGGUAUGAGAAGAAGCUGCGUGGAGCUUGGGCAGCUUCACGGGGACCCCAGGACGGAAGUCAGAGCUGGGGCAAGGGCCCCACGUUAAAGCAAAGGUGAACAGGAGAGAACUGGCCUGGCAGGGACUGAAGUCCACCCUGGAUCACCUCCACCCUGUGUGAAUUAAAUGACCUGCCACCCAGCCAUCUGCUAGGAGAAAAGCAGGUACCUGCAGAAACGUGGGGCCACAAAGUCCUUGAUGCAUGUGCUGAGGCAGGUCCCCAGCGAGGGUUAGGGUGGCCGCACAGGGCCUCACUGGACAGUUUGCCCCUGGGAGUGUGUGCGUGGGGGCUCUGAAAUGCCAGCCUCAAAGGCUGUGGUCAGGGCUGUGGAUGGACUGCUCUAGUUCUUUCCAGAUCAUGCUCAAGUGUUUACAGGUGAAGGGUCAUGAUGUCUGUAUCCAAAAUGGCUCUGAAAACUAAAACAGAAAACAAUGAUAUUGUCACAUAUAAAGAGUAAGAUAUAUGGGCACCAUGCACACCCCUGUGAUCCCUGGCUCAGGAGGCUGAGGCCGGAGGAUCGCAAGACCAACCCAGUGAGACCCUAAGCAACUCAGCAAGACCCUGUCUCUAAACAAAAUGUAUUUUUUAAAGGGCUGGGGAUGUGCCUCAGUGGGUAAGAACCCCUGGUUUCCACACCCAGUUCCAGUCCCACCAAAAAAAAAAAAAAAAAAACAAAUGCAUCGAAAACAGUUGACCUAGGAGAAAAAUAUGCGAAUUUUCUAUUUUACAUUUUUCAACCUGGAAAUAUCGAAAAAAUCCAUAAGCACCUCCAGAAGACUUACUCAAAACUUGUUGAAUCACACAAUUUAAAUUGAUCUGUUUUAUUGUAUGAAAGUCAUAUCUCAACAGAUAGGUCAGAAAUGUAAUCGGUCGGUUUAACUGCAGUUCACACCUAAAAGGAAGAAGAACUAGAAGAUAGAGCACAGGUUAAAUCCACACUAAACAGAAAAAUAGGGGAGACUGCAGAACAAACACAGGGAGAAGAUCCAACUCAGGUUCCCCACCUGGAGACGAGGCAGAGCGGAGCGGGAGCAGCGUUGCAGACCCAGGCCGCGGGUCAGGGGUGCUGCAGAGGCCCAACCGGGAAGAGAGCAGAAUCCCAUCAGCCCAGGAUGUAGAGCCGAGGCCAAAACCAAGGGGAUACAAGAAGCUUCCAGAGGGAAGAGACCUCCCGCUUUUAGGGCCCAGCAGUGAAGGGACACUGGCCUUUCAGCAGAAGUACCGACCGGCAGGUGGCGGGGGACUGACGCUGCCUAGAGCAGGUCACCAGUGAGCGGAAAUCAAAACCCGGCAGAAGCAUUCUCCAGGCAGGGUGGGGUGGCAGCACUUGCAGUCCCAGCUCCGGAGGCUGAGGCAGGAGGAUGGCAAGUUCAAGCCCGGCUUGGGCAAUUUAGUGAGACUGUCGCAAACUACAGUGUCCCCCCGCCCCCCCUCCAAAAAAAGGUUGAACAGAAACAUUUUAGAGAAACUCCGAGGUUUGCCACCAUCAACUUCCAGUUAAGGAAACAGCAAGCAAUGUCCUUCAUGCAGAAGGGAAAAACCCCAGGAGGUUCGGGCGCAGGAGGAAGGGAGGCCCAGAGGGCUGGCAGAGGCAGUGCAAGUCUGACACGCGUCCGGUGCGAACCCAGCUGUGGGACCUCUCACGGGACCUGGAGCAUCAACUGGACAAAAGAGGUGUUGAUGCCGACCACUGAGGGCACAGCCUGUGCUGGUGCUGGACCCGGGCCAUGGCCCGUGUGGUGCAGGGACUGUGCAGGUGGAGCUGCAUUAUGAGAUUCUCCUGGAUUAUCCCGUGGGCCUGGAAGGGGCAGCCAGGGAGGCAUGGCUUACGAGAAGUGCAGGACAGCCUUAGAGAACUCUCCUGAGGUUGGCAGCUGGGCUGAUCAGAUCCAGUUCAGUGGACUCAGAGUGAAGGUCCUGGGGAAGGGAAGGGGCAGGUCCUGGCAGGGUCUCACACUGCAGCCUCUGGGACACAGAGACACGGCAUUUUGGUUUAUGUUUGGGAUAUUCAUAAGGCAGAGGUUCCCAAAUGUUCUACGCCCCAAAGGGGAUGACCUUUGUGGCCCAGCAGUUCUAACAUGAGUGAAAAUGGGCUGUGUGCUGGCCAGAGCCUCCUCUCCACUACGACUGCCUUGAGUUGGCUGGGUAUGGGCUUCUUGGCCCUGCAGAAAGGCAAGGACUGGACAGGGGAGGCCCUGCUGGCUCCCUGUCUUAGUGAGGGCUGUCCAUGGGCAGUGGUGUGUGGAGGGUCAGGUCUAGGUCUUUCAGAACUUCUGUCCCCAGGAGCCCGGCAGAUGGUUUCUGAGGUCCCACCACAGGACUAAGAAGGGCAGUCUUGCCCAGGGGCUCCAGAGGUGGGGAGGUGCCAGGACUGCCAUAGUGGGGGCUCCUCAGGCUCUGAAGGGGGCACCUGUUGGCUUCAAGAGUAAAAUUGGAAAUGUGGAAUUGUUGCCAGCAGAACCCACAGAGAACAAAGGAAUGUGGACUGGAGUGUCUGAAAAGAGAAGGGCCUGGAACUGGUCUCUCGGGGAGGUCCUGGGGGUCUCGCUGCGCCCCUCCCUGGAGAAGGGGAGAGUCUGGCUCCUGUGAGGGUGUGUGUGGCAGGAGCGGGGGUCAGGGCUUGGGAAGCUGCACCCUGUUCCCCUCAGGCAGAGCUGGCUGUGGCCAAGGGGGCGUGGCCAGGAGGAGUUGAGUGGGUUGGACUCACUGGAAGCUGGGGAGGGACUGGAGCUGGGCUACACCUGGGGCUGUAGUGCCCACCAGAAGGCCCUUGGGCUUCCAGAUGAAAGGUCAGGAGGACUGGGCUCCUGAGUACUCCCUGUGGACCUCAGUUCUGUUUUCUUUCCACUCGGCCCACUCUCUCUGCCUAGGCCUUUAGCUCCAGGGUGGGGUGUUCAGUUCCUGCUCUGGCCAACUGGGGGUGGGGGAGGGACAGCCACUGCUGCUCUGGGACUUCUUCAGAACCAGCGCCUUUCUGUUCUUUCCCCCUUCUCCCUAAACAGAAUCUGACGCACAUCUCUAGGGCGAGUCUCCCCACUGUCCUGCUUAUAUCUGCUUAUAUCUGCCCGUGCUCCUGUGGUCUUGAUGCUCUGGCAUUUGAGGCCUUGAUCCUGGACAGCCCUUGCCCACCCCAGGCUGACUAAUUCCUAGACAGCAAUGCAACUCCCCUUUGAUGCGCAGGCUGACCAAUCAGGAGCCACAGAGGCUCCUUCCCCAGACCUCCCACCAAGCACACUUCCCUGCCCUGAGAACCCUGGGUCAGGUGCACAGAAGACUGCCCUACAGCCCAGGCCCCAGGUCCCCCACUCACUCAGUGUUCCUACCAUGCCUCAGCCACUUCUUCCUGAGAAGCCAUGGUGCAGACCCUAGGCCCACCUCCGGCCUUCUGCCCUGGCCAAUAUGAGGCAUGUUGUACUCGCCCUUGGGAACGGAGCUGCAGGUCUUCUAGGGCAGCUGUCUGCCUGUGUGCCUGGCUAUGCUGCUUAGCACCCACUCUGGAUGGCAUCUUAGGAUGCAGGGCUGGCUGCUGGGUUUGAAGGUGGGCCAGGGGUACUACUCUGGGAGAAGAAACAGACAGGUGUCUUUGCCUCUGCAGGGAGCUGAUCCUGAAGCACAUGUGCUGAAGGAGUGUGUCCACCACCCUUGACGAAGCCUGCAGAGGUGUGGAGAUGGCAGGGCACCGGUGAAGAAGAGCCAGGGUCCACAGGGGGUCCACUCAUGGGACGCCUCAGUCACGUGGUCUCGGGACUCUGUAAAACUCACUAAAUUAGGAGGGUGAUGGCGUGUAGCUCAGUAGUAGAGCACCCGUGCGUUCGUCUCCUGAACCAAAAUAUAAAAACACAAAACACUUAAUUUGUUGUAAUUUAUUCUCUUGUUCUGAAUAAAAAUGUCCCUAAUUUUAUAAUAA